rnacentral:rRNA from 1 species
CCCCUAGAUGUUCUGGGCCGCACGCGCGCUACACUGAACAGUUCAACAAGUCUUAACCUUGGCCGAUAGGUCUGGGUAAUCUUUGAACGCUGUUCGUGAUUGGGAUAGACCUUUGCAAUUAUGGGUCUUCAACGAGGAAUUCCUAGUAAACGCAAGUCAUCAGCUUGCAUUGAUUACGUCCCUGCCCUUUGUACACACCGCCCGUCGCACCCACCGAUUGAAUGGUCCGGUGAAAUCUCGGGACGGCGGCUCGGUCGCUUGCGUCCGACUGCUGAAACUUGAUUAAACCAUAUCAUUUAGAGGAAGGUGAAGUCGUAACA